GGGGGUGCACCGGUUUCGACAGAUCUGAUUGAUCGUGUACUGCAAGUAGGCGUGAAGGUGCCUUGAACUGACAAAAAAAUAACUGCAAAACGUAGAGAAGACUUCGUGUCUGAAAACGAACAGUUAGCAUUGGCUGCUUAAGCUAUGCCGGUAAUCAUGGUGUGCUGUUCCUAACAUUGUGAAUUACCGUCGCCAACAGGAACUUGCUCUGUUAUGAUUCUAGGCUUAACAGGGGACUUUUUCUAGAAUAAGGAGACGACGCUUUUGGUGCUGCUACCGUCUCCCGACAAAUACCUCGCACCAAUAAACUUGUAGACGUGCAUGGUUUGCGCUUCUGGACGGGGGUUCAAUUCCCCCCAUCUCCACU
rnacentral:tmRNA from 1 species